AGCUCUCUUGCUGAGGAGGACAGCCGUAGCAGUGAAGGAAAGCACAGAACAGUGUUGAAGACUCAUCAGAAUGGCCCCCUCAGGUACUGAAACGAUAGCCGCACUGGAGGCAAUGUGUGUUUAAAAUUCUCGCUUUGAAUCCGAAGAGUAAGAAACAUUCUCAUACCCACAUGAUUGUCUGACACUCUUUUGAAAAUAAUGAAGUGCUUCUAUGAGGCCAGAAAAUCAUAAAUGAAAUUAUCAUUUCACAUUUACCUAAACAAAUGUAUUUGAUAUACUGAAGCAAAUGUAGCAAGUGGGUUUAUAUCAUUAAGUAGUUUUUUAUCAUUAAAUUUAUACUUUUGCCUGUAUAUCUUUAGCUAAUAAUGAUGGCAAAUUUUGAUGUUAUACUAUAAGAAAAGUGAUAAUUUAAUGUGGAAAACUUGCAUAAUAAUAAAUAGCAAAUAAGAAAGAAACAGAGGCUGGAGAGAGAAAUUUUCUGCUUU